CCCAAUUAUUGUUUUUUCUAUGGAAAAUCUUAACUAUACACAAGCUCUAAAUGAGCUUUUUAAGGAAAUGUUAUAAAUAGGAAAUAGUUAUACAUGAAAACAGAGUAAAAAGUGUACACAUUUUGAUUGAUUAAGGCUGAAGAAAUUGAACGAGAAAACAAAAGAGUUAAAUUUUCUUGUUGUGUUUUUUUCAGGUUUUGUUUUCUGGCUCACAUAAAAGAUUUUAAGCCAUAUUGAACAAUAAUGAGCCAUAUUCAAAAUGUAUACAAAAUCAAUGUUUUUUUUUUUUUCAUUUGUCAGUUUUGGUUUAUCUUCGCCUCUGGUUGGGUUGUAGGUUUUUGUGCUGGGAUUUGUCAUAGUGAUACAUAUACGAUAGCUGGGGGCUACGUGAGAGACACAUAGAUAUAUCCCUAUACAAAAACUCUGUGAGAAAACAAUGAGAUUAACUACCUUGAUUUUUGACAAAGAAAAGUAUAAUGCUUUAUUUAAAUGAAUUAAGUACUGCGUGCAACUAUUCUAAUAAGCUGAUUGACAUUUAAAAGUUAUUUUAAAACCUUUUUAAAAGUACUUUGGUGAAAUACUAUAUAAGUCUGUUUCAUUAUUGAGACUUUAUCAGUAGUCAAUUCAAAAUGUCUUUCCCAAAAUUAUAGCUAUUCAAAGAACAUCAUAGUAAAGACAUUUUUAAUAGUGUUUUUUCACAUUUUUUCAGGUUUAGAUUUUUGUUUUUUUCUGCUGCUUCAUGUUUUUGUUGAAGGAGUCAAUGGAGAUGUAGCACUGUGAUUAUGCUCUUGACUACUGGGGAGCAGGAACCAAAGUUACUGUAAAGCCAGGUGAUUCCUCUCAGACUCUGUCCCUCCUCGUCCUCCGCCCCCAGCAGACUUCUGGUGACCCCCUGAACACAGCAGACCAACUCAGUCAAGAAGUCUGUCUGGCAACAGAUUUCCGUCCAAAGGGGGUUGUGAAUGGGAAAGGGGGUCCGGCCAACGUGAGCACUGAUGACGCUGUUCUGAAAAAGAACCAAACCUACUUUGAUGAAUUCAGUAGCAAAAACAUCCACUCCUGUGGGAUGAGCGGGAACAUCAGCACCAAUGAUGAAUGUGGAGGCUUUGAUCCAGAAAAAGCCAAGCUGAACUUCUACCUGCUGCUGAUGAACGGAGUCCGAGUGGUGUUCACCAAAGCUCUGGCCUUCAGCACCGUCCUCACCAUCAGAGGCCUGCUCUUCUGAA